CACGUGAACAACCUGCCCUCGUGUGGGGGAUAGCCAUGCUAACGCGUGGGUAAUACCGCAUACGUUCUCGAGGAGGAGUCUUCUUGGGAAGAAAGCUCUGGCGCACGGGGAGGGGUUCGCGGCCUAUCAGCUAGUUGGUGCGGUAACGGCGCACCAAGGCGACGACGGGUAGCUGGUCUGAGAGGAUGGCCAGCCACAUUGGGACUGAGACACGGCCCAG
rnacentral:rRNA from 1 species